CAGUAGCCGCGGGAAUACGGAGGGGGCUAGCGUUGUUCAGAAUUACCGGGUGUAAAGCGCACGUAGGCGGCUUGGUAAGUUAGAGGUGAAAGCCCGGAGCUCAACUCCGGAAUUGCCUUUAAGACUGCCGAGCUAGUAGGUGAGAGAGGUGAGUGGAAUUCCGAGUGUAGAGGUGAAAUUCGUAGAUAUCGGAAGGAACACCUGUGGCGAAAGCGGCUCGCUGGACAAUUACUGACGCUGAUGCACGAAAGCUAGGGGAGCAAACAGGAUUAGAUACCCCAGUAGUCCCUGUCUCUUAUAC
rnacentral:rRNA from 1 species